CCCAUGGCUCCUAACAGCAGAGUCCAGGAGCUGGUUUUAGGGCAGGUUGCAGGUGACAGAACUGUGCCACUCCAGGCCGUGAAGUGCAUACCAGAAGGGCCCUGAGCACUUCACAGCCUAGCGUGUGUUAUGUGAGUACCCUCUUGGUGAAUGAAUUACAAAGAUGUGUCCCUUCUUUUGAGCUGACACAAGAUUUGGGAAGGAGAAUGGUGUCUGGACUUCAGCCAUCGAUGCCCCACCUCAGCUGGGUCCCCUUGUUGAGUGUACAUACUUUAUAACAAAACACGGGGAGAGAUUCUUAUCUACCCUGCUCUAGGUGCAUCCCCUUUUCACCAAUGAGAUGAUUAAGUAUUAGAAGGUGUGAUGGUUAAUACUGAGUGUCAACUUGAUUGGAUUGAAGGAAGCAAUGUAUUGUUCCUAAGGUGUUGCUGAAGGAGAUUAGCAUUUGAGUCAGUGAGCUGGGAGAGGCAGACCCACUGUCAAUAUGGGUGGGCACCAUCUAAUCAGCACAUCUAAUCUAGCUGCCAGCACAGCUAGAAUAAAGCAGCAAAAGAAAGUGAAAUGAGCAGACUUGCUAAGUCUUCCGGCCUUCAUCUUUCUUCCGUGCUGGAUGCUUCCUGCCCUCACACAUUAGGCUCCAAGUUCUUCAGCUUGUGAACUCUUGGACCUACACCAGUGAUUUGCCAAGGACUCUUGAGCCUUCAGCCACGGACUGAAGGCUACACUGUCGGCUUCCUUACUUUUGAGGUUUUGGACUUGACUGGCUCCUCGGCUUGCAGAUGGCCUAUUGUGGGACUUCACUCUGUGAUCAUGAAAAUUUGCAUUCUCCCUGUUGUGGAAAUAGGUGGGGAUUUCGGGGCAGGCUGAAGAGGGAGCUAUUUUUUUCAGAGAUCUGCGCAUUCCCCCUGUGAGGGAGGCUGACAAGGACCAUGGAACUCAACCAUUCAUGCAAAGCUCUUUCAAUUUCAUCAUCUCAUCCCACCAUCACAACGCUGGGAGAUCAGUUAGGUGCCACUCAGCCACCCGCGCUGGGAUUUGACUCAACCGUAAGUUGCCAGGGAAACAGCCAGAUUAGAUCCUACGACAUUUCUUUGUUCCAUUCCCAUUCUCACUUCUAGACCACAUCACCUGGAAGGAGAUAAAACCCUGGAUCUGGAAGAAUUUGGGAUGCUGGGCAAUAUUUAACCCAAAUAGAGGGGCUAGCUGCCAGUCUGACUGUCUCGGCGGAGUAAUACUGCAGUAAUUAUGUGAUAGUCUUGUGUAUAUCAAAAGAAUAUUUGAUGUCCUGAGGGCAGUGGAGAGCAUGAGAAAGAAAAAUACGCCUGGAUGGAGACAUUUAAAAUACUAGCUAGGUGUUUAACAACUGCGUUGAAUUUAAUAUGUUUCAGUUGCAUGCCUGCUGGGACUCUUUUCCCUCCAACCAGACUCAAUUGUCUUUUAAGGCACUUGAGCUCUAGCAAGGAGAGAGGUUUGAACCUCUGGUAUGUAUAUUUAUAGACUGUUGGAGACAUGAGAGCAAUCACAGUAAUUCCUGGAGUGAAUUUCCUCCCCUCCUGUAACCUAAAUAAAUUUCACUCAGCAGUGUGGGUACUCUAAUCCCUUCCUCACCCUUGCCAUAUCUGACACCCUUUAUUGUUUCCCUAGCAACUGCCCAGCAUGGGGAGGCUAUAAAAGGAGCAACAAUAAACAAAAUGAAUUACAACAAAGGUGACUAGCUGGCAGAAUUAGCACAGUGGAGGGUGGAGGGGUUUGAUCUCACAUAGACUUUUCUAGUAUUUCUCCUUUUCUCCUCUCCGAAGACCCUUGGCUCUGUUAUUUCUCAUAGCACUAUAGAGCUAGCAUUGAUAACUCCCAGCUUUUAGAAAGCUAGCUCAAAAAGAGAUCAGAGAGUUAAGAGUGACUUUUCCUAAGUCCAGGCGCGGUGGCUUAUGCCUGUAAACCUAGCACUUCGGGAGGCCGAGGCAGUGGCUCACUUGAGGUCAGAGACCAGCCUGGCCAACAUGGUAAAACCCUUUCUCUACUAAAAAUACAAAAAAAAUUAGCCUGUAUGUGCCUGUAAUCCCAGCGACUGGAAGGCUGAGGCACAAGAAUCACUUGAGCCCAGGAGGUGGAGGCUGCAGUGAAUUGAGAUCGCGACAUUGAGCUCUAGCCUGGGUGAUAGAGUGAGACUUUCUCCCCCACAAAAAAGAAUGACUUUUCCUAAAUCAUGAGGCUUGACCCUAAUUAUUUUUUCAGAUAUUUUGCAUUUAAUUCUGUUAUUGUUAUUUAUUUCCAGUAUUCCAGUGGUACCACCAACACCGGACAGCACUCACAGAGAAGCUAUUGCAGGUCUGAUGAAGCAGAGAUGAGACUCACAGAAGACAGCUGCUGCUUUGCCCUGUGACCGAGGUCCUCCGCAAUCAUUGCUGCUCUGCUUACAGAAUUAUUAUCAUGGUGAAAGGAAAGAGUGCUUUCCAAAGUGUGAAGAGUUAUGUAGUGAUUGUUUAUCCCUUCCAUGUGGGCUGGGAGUAGUCAGGGAGGGUCAAUUUGCUGUCCACAUUCAGCAUAAAAAUAGCUCCAAUGUGCUAAAAAUAUUUGUCAUCCACACAGAGAAAUCUGCAAGUCCUCACCACGGAGCCUUGAAAAGGAGGUCACAGAAAUAUCUGGAGCAAAGGACUUCCUCUCACUUGUCUCACCUAAUAGCAAUCUUAGAAUAAGGGUUUCUCACUGCUAGGCCAAGAUCUGGGUUUUUGCAUUUUUGCACCAGAUUUUGUUCUGUGUUCUGCUUACUCUGCUUAAAUGCAUGUGCAAAUGAGGCACUCAACAUCACUCCCCAUGAACCCAAGAUUCUUCUGGGCACGUUGGCACAUCAUCAUACCCAGGGGGACAGUUCGGACUCCUCUUGUCAGGUGUUGCUUAUUCGUCAUCAAAUUUGCCAGAGCCUCCCAGGUGCCAUUCCCACCCAAUGCUACCGUUCUGCACAGAGGUCCUGUUUGGUGCUGUGCCACUCUUGACCUUUUUCUCUCCUAGUAGUGGUUUAGUUUGUGAUGGGUUAAACAAUUCCUUUUUAAUAAUUGUAAAUGACUUCUAUUUAUAUUUGCUUUUUUGAAAGACAUUUUAGUUACUGAGGCAAGCCUUUUAUAAGUCCUCAGCACUGUGUCUUGAGUUUACAAAGCACACUGGUAAGAGACAACUUAGGUCUAGAGCAAUGCGCUUCUUUACCUUUUCUCUUUUUUUUCCUUUCAAUGUGUACAAAUUCAGUUGUUGCCAAUUCCCUAAAAGUAAUUUCCCCAGAACUUCUCUUAUUUGUGACAAAACUCCUAAUUUCUUCUUUCAGCUCUGUUUUGGAUUUUUUUUUCACUUUUUACUUUUACAUUUUUAUUUAUUUUCCCAUUGAUUGUACAUAUUAAAAGAAACCAAAGGGCUAGUUCCUGCUCCCAUCUAUUCUGACUGAGGCUGUAUUACUCUGCUACUAAAAGAAAAUGAAACUAUAUUCCUAAAGAGUAUGCUGGCUCUGAGAGCUUGGGCACCUUCUCACACUGUCUUAGUUCACCCACUUGGAACUGUAACUCUGGGGCAAAAUUGAGUUUGACUCUAAUGCUUACUCACUAAAUAGACUUCUUAACUUCAUCAUUAUUAUUUUUCUUUUUUGAGACAGUCUUGCCCUGUCACCCGGGCUGGAGUGCAGUGGAGUGAUCUCAGCUCACUGCAGCCUCUACCUCCUAGGUUCAAGCAAUUCUCCUGCCUUAGCCUCCUGAGUAGCUGGAACUACAGGAGUGCGCUACCAUGCCCAGCUAAUUUUUUUGUAUUGUUUUAGUAUAGACAGGGUUUCACCAAGUUGGCCAGGCUGGUCUUGAACUCCGACCUCAGGUGAUCCGCCCACCUCGGCCUCCCGAAGUGCUGGGAUUGUAGGCUUGAGCCACUGCACCCGGCCUUCAUUAUGUUUUUGAUCUCAGCUCUGUACUUAAUCAUUUUAGUACCAUGGUUAGUAAGAUAACUAUUCAAUUUUUCAGUGGGAUGUGGUCUUAGUCAGUUUGGGCUGCUAUAGCAAAAUUCCUUAGACUGCUUAAUUUAUAAACAAUAGCAAUUCAUUGUUUACUGAUGGGUGUGGUGGCUCAUUCCUACAAUCCCAGCACUUUGGGAGGCUGAGGCAGACCUUCAGAGCAGAAGGUCUGCUAAGGUAAAAGUAUUACCAUGGUUGUUAUAAUUAAUAAUAACUGACACCUCAGCAACAUGAACAUAUGUGGACUCUCCCCUGCCAGUCUUUUAACUUCUGCUUGUAAUGUUUUUGGCAUAGGUUUUCUGUGCACCAACCAAAUGCAUACUCUGGUGGAAAGACCCCUGAAGGAUCUAACUUGAGUUUUGGCCUUGCCAUUAACAUGUAUGAAGUCAGCCAAAUCAAUUGAUCUUAUCUUGAAGCCUGUAGAAUCCAUAAUCCACAAAAAAUAACAAUAAUUUUUACCAGAAAAGAGUUUUCAUCUUUUGAGGGAAGAUAUUUGGGGAAAACUUAUCCAUAUAAUUUCCAUGAUAUCAGGUGAUUGUCAACUCUUUACUACCUUUUCUGCAAUAUUGAUAAGGAUAAUAUUAAGGAAUUAUAAGUUAAUUAUUUAUAAUUGUUUCUGGAAAAAAAACAAAGGAAGUUAAGUAAACGGGAUUAUUUCCCCAAUUUUAGAGACCAUUAGGGGUCUAAAAUCAAAUAUUAAAAGUCUGUCUUACCUAAAACUUUCAUAAAUUUCUAGCAAAUGAAAGUCAUAAAUAUGGUGGUUAAAACAUAGGUUCUAAAGCCAGAGUGUCUGGGUUCCAAGGUUGACUGUGCCACAUGGGUGACUUUGGGGAGUUGUUUAACAUCUAUUUUCUCAUCUGUAAAACGGGAAUGAUAACAAUAAGCAAUUCACAAGGCAUCUGAGAAGAUUUAAUAAUGGUCAUUGUUUCUUGAGCAUGUCCUUCUUACUGAACACUUUCUCUUUCUAAGCACUUAAUUUUCACAACAACUUCAGGGGUGUUAUUGGUAUAAAUAAGUGAAGUCAUGCAUGUAAGGCCCUUAAAACUGUGCCUGGCUAUUCUAAGAUUCAAUCAAGACUACUUAGUAUUUUGCAUCCAUAAAAAGGGGGCAAAGUAAAGUCAGUAUGCCUUGGAGUGAAAUAAAGAAUUUAAUAGGGUGGCGGGGGGUGGGGGAAGAUAUUUCAGUGUAAGCCAACAUCCAUGAUCUUACUUAUGAAAGGAUUUCAUCUGAAUUGGUCAUCAAGCUUCUGCUAAAUGAAAUGAGCUGGAGAGCUAUAACUUAAGGUUAUAAUUAAAGGGAGAAUUAAAACACAGAGGCCUCACAGAAUGCUAUGCAUACUGGCUUUUACUUUCCUUCUUUCUAAAUGCACCUUGAGUGUAUAUUGGAUUAAAAUGGUGAAAAAGCAGUGACCCAGGAGUUUGUGACCAGUGUGAAGCAGGCUGGAUAAAAUUCAAAGUGAUGAAGGGGGUUUCAAAAAUGCUAGGGCAGACUUCCAGUUUCUGGUCCAGCACAUAAGGAGCUUGGAAGUCACCACUCUGUCUUAACAAGUAAAAUGCUGAACAGACUGAAAAAUCAAUAACAGAAGUGAGGUCACAGGGCAAACUGCUGUCCCCCAGUUGGAGGGACAGACAGGCAAAUACAGAGAAUCACAACUUACUAGAGCAGAAACCCAGGAGCAGAGACUUCCGUGGGAAUCAGUGCUGGGGUAGAAAGACAAAACUGUGAUGGACCAAAGCUGGAGGCUCAAUGUGGACAACCUGAUGAGUUAAAACCCUCAGGGGGAUCCAGCCAUGAUUGGGGUGGGGUGUACACUUUUCUCAGUUUUACCUCUAGUAAUGUAACCAGAUUCUCACAGUGAGUAUUGGAGAAAAAUUCCCUCAUGCUUCUGGCAGGGGGAGGGGAAAAACAGCCGUUUGGAAAGAUGCCAGAGCAUUUUGUUCUUAACAAGGCCUGUCCUCAGGGAAACUAUUUAACCAGAGCCUAACCUGCUGGAAUUUUACCAGAGCCUGACUGACCCGGGGGAAGGGAACUACCUACCUCUAGCCUUUUCUAGCCACCCUGUCCCACCUGAGAGUGGGGAACACCGACAAGCAUUUGUAAAGUUCAUAGUCUAGAGGCACAGGGUUAUUAAAAGACUAUGACCUAAUUGUAAGGCUAUAGAAUGUUUCUCCUUCCUCCACGCUUACCACCACAUUACUAAGGGCCCAUUUGCGCCCGUUCUUUUUUCCCCGUACCUCAUGACUGACUAUCAAAAAUUUACAAGGUAUACGGAAAGGCAAACAACCACAGUUUGAAAAGACAGCAAGCAUCAGAACCAGACUUAGAUACACCAGGGGUGUUGAAAUUAUCAGACUGAAAAUUUAAAAUAACUAUGAUUAAAAUGUCAGGAAUCUAAUGAAUAAAGUAGAUAGGAUGCAAAAAUGGUUAGGCAAUGCAAGCAGAGAGAUGAAACUCCUAAGAAAAAAUUUAAAAGAAGUACUAGAGAUCAAAACACCAUAACAGAAAUACGGAUUGCUUUUGAUAGGCUUACUAGUAGACUGAAUGAGGCUGAGAAAGAAUCUCUGAACUUGAGGAUUUUUUCAAUAGAAACUUCCAAAACUGAAAAGCAAAGAAAAAUACUGAAAAAAAAACAAACAAACCCAGAAUACAAUACCCACCAACUGUGAGACAACUAAAAAGGUAUACCACGCAGAAUAGGAACAGCAGAAGAAGAAAGAGAGAAAGAAACAGAAGAAAUAUUGGAAACAAUAAUAACUGAGAAUUGGCCUGGCUCACACCUGUAAUCCCAGCACUUUGGGAGGCCCAGGAAGUCAGAUCACGUGGGGUCAGGAGUUCAAGACCAGCCUGGCCAACAUGGUGAAACUCCAUCUCUACUGAAAGUACAAAAAAACUAGUCAGGAGUGGUGGUGGGCACCUGUAAUCCCAGCUACUUGGGAAGCUGAGGCAGGAGAAUUGCUUGAACCCGAAAGGCAGAGGUUGCAGUGAGCUGAGAUCGCACCACUGCACUGCAGCCUGGGCAACAGAGCAAAACUCUGUCUCCAAAAAAAAAACAAAACAAAAAAACUUGAGAAUUUCCCCCAGUUUAAUGUCAGACACUAAACUCAACCUGAUAAAAGAUAUGUAUGGAAACCCUACAGCUAACAUCAUAUUCAAUUACAAGAAACCAGAUUUCCCAACAAGAUCAAGAACUAGGCAAGGAUAUACCUUUUCACCACUCCUUUUCAAGGUCAUACUGGAAGUUCUACCUAAUGCAAUAGGAUAACAAAGGAAACAAAAGGUAUCCUGAUGAGGAUAAAAUAAAUAAAACUAUCUUUGUUCACAGAUGAUAUGAUUGUCUGUGUAGAAAAUAUGAAAAAAAUAAACCAAACAAAAACAAAAAUCCUUCCUGGAAUUGAUAAGCAAUUAUAGCAAGGUUGCAAGAUAUGAGGUUAAUAUAAAAAAUUAAUUGCUUUCCCUUAUACCAGCAAUGAGCAAGUAGAAUUUGAAAUAAAAACUAUAAUAUCAUACUGUUUAGAUUAGCACCCUCAAAAUAAAAUACUUAGGUGUAAAUUAUAACAAAAUAUGUAAAAAAUCUAUAUGAAGAGAACUACAAACUGCUUUAAAAAAUUAAAGAGGCCGGGCGCGGUGGGUCAUGCCUGUAAUCCCAGCACUUUGGAAGGCCGAGGCGGGCGGAUCACGAGGUCAGGAGAUCGAGGCCAUCCUGGCUAACAUGGUGAAACCCUGUGUCUACUAAAAAAUACAAAAAAUUAGCCAGGCAUGGUGGUGGGUGCCUGUAAUCCCAGCUACUCAGGAGGCUGAGGCAGGAGAAUGGCGUGAACCUGGGAGGCAGAGCUUGCAGUGAGCUGAGAUCGCACCACUGCACUCCAGCCUGGGUGACAGAGAGAGACUCUGUCUCAAAAUAAAAUAAAAUUAAAUUAAAUUAAAUUAAAUUAAAUUAAAUUAAAUUAAAAUUGAAGAAGAACUAAAUAAAUGAAGAGUUAUUCCAUAUUCAUGGAUAAGAAGACACAAGAGUGUCAAGAUGUCAGUUCUUCUCAACUUGAUCGGUAGAUUCAUUGCAAUUCCAAUCAAAAUCUCGGCAAGUUAUUUUGUGAAUUUUGACAAAUUAACCCUAAAGUUUAAAUGAAAAGGCAAAAAUCCCAGAAUAAUCAACACAAUAUUGAAGAAGCAGAACCAGGUUGGAGGACUGCCAUUACCUGAUCUCAAGAUUUACUGUAAAGCUACAGUUAUCAAGACAAUGUGGUACUGGUGAAAGAAAAGACAAACAGAUAAAUGUAACAGAAAAGAGAGCUUAGAAACAGACCCACCUAAAUAUAAUCAACUGGUCUUUGACAAGGGAGCAAAAUUAAUACAAUGGAGAAAAAGUAGACCUAAGUAUAAAAUGCAAAACUAUGAAAUUCCUAGAAGAUAACUAAAAAAAAAUCUAGGUGACCUUGGGUUUGGUAAUUACUUUUUAGAUACAACCAAAGGCAUAAUACUUGAAAAAAACAAUUGAUAAGCUGGACUUCAUUAAAAAUAAAAAUUGCUCUGCAAAAGACAGUGUCUAGAGAACGAGAAGACAAGCUGUAGACUGGGAGAAAAUUUGCAAAAGACAUAUCUGAUAAAAGACUGUUACCCAAAAUAUACAAAGUACUGUUAUAAUUGAAGUUUAAAUGAAUGGCUUUGUUUAAAUGAAUGGUCUUUAACAAGGGAGCAAAAUUAAUACAAUGGAGAAAAAGUAGACCUAAGUAUAAAAUGCAAAACUAUGAAAUUCCUAGAAGAUAACUAAAAAAAAAUCUAGGUGACCUUGGGUUUGGUAAUUACUUUUUAGAUACAACCAAAGGCAUAAUACUUGAAAAAAACAAUUGAUAAGCUGGACUUCAUUAAAAAUAAAAAUUGCUCUGCAAAAGACAGUGUCAAGAGAAUGAGAAGACAAGCCAUAGACUGGGAGAAAAUUUGCAAAAGACAUAUCUGAUAAAAGACUGUUACCCAAAAUAUACGAAGUACUGUUAUAACUCAGUCAAUCAGAAAAUGAACCACCCAAUUAAAAAAUGGCUAAAGAUCUUAACAGGUACCUCACCAAAAAGAUAUGCACAUAACAAAUAAGCACAUGAAAAGAUGCUCCACAUUUUAUAUCAUUAGAAAAAUGCACAUUAAAACAACAAUAAGAUACUACUAUUAGGUUGGUGCAAACACAGUUGCAGUUUUUGCAUUGUUGAAAUUUGCUGUUCAUAUUGGAAUACAUUCUUAAAUAAAUGUAGUUAUGUUAUACACCAUUUUAAUGUGCAUUCUUGCUUUAUGUUUCUUUUGUUAAUGACUUACUAAUUGCUCUUAAUUUUAUAUUUAUUUUAGACUAUAGAAAUGAUGUUAGUCAAAAAGCAAAUGAUGAUGAUUAUUAUUUUAUUUUAUUUUUCCAUAAGUUAUUGGGGUACAGGUGGUAUCUGGUUACAUGAGUAAGUUUUUCAGUGGUAAUUUGUGAGAUCCUGGUGCACCCAUCACCCAAGCAGCAUACACUGCACCAUAUUUAUUGUCUUUUAUCCUUCACCUCCCUUCUACUCUUCUCCCCAAGUCCCCAAAAUCCAUUGUAUCAUUCUUACGUCUUUGCAUCCUCACAGCUUAGCUUCUACAUAUCAGUGAGCUCGCAGCUUAGCUUCUACAUAUCAUAUGAUGUUUGAUUUUCCAUUUUUGAGUUAUUUCACUUAAAAAGAAAAUUUGAGUGAUUUUCUUAUUCGCGUUCAAAAUGGGGUGUAAAGUAGUGGAGACAACUCACAACAUUAACGGUGCAUUUGGCCCAGGAACUGUUAACCAACUUAACAGGACAGUGGUGGCUCAAGAAGUUUAGCAAAGGAGACAAGAGCCUUGAAGAUGAGGAUCAUAGUGGCCGGCCAUUGAAAGUUGACAACAACCAGUUGAGAGCAACCAUCGAAGCUGAUCCUCUUACAACUGCAGGAGAAGUUGCCAAAUAACUUCUGCAGUUCUGUCGGCCAUUCUGUGGUCAUUUGGCAUUUGAAGCAAAAUUGGAAAGGUGAAAAAGCUCGAUAAGUGGGUGCCUUAUCAGCUGAGUGAAAAUAAAAAAAAAUCGUCAUUUUGAAGUGUCUUCUGUUAUCCUAUGCAACAACAACAAACCAUUUUUUGAUCGGAUUGUGAUGUGCAAUGUGAAGUGGAUUUUAUACCACAACCGAUGAUGACCAGCUCAGUGGUUGGACCGAGAAGAAGCUCCAAAGCAUUCCUCAGAGACAAACUUGUACCAAAAAAGGGUCAUGGUCACUCUUUGGUGGUCUGCUGCCAGUCUGAUCCACUACAGCUUUCUGAAUCCCAGCGAAACCAUUACGUCUAAGAAGUAUGCUCAGGAAAUUGAUGAGAUGCACUGAAAACUGCAAUGCCUGCAGCCGGCACUGGUCAACAGACAGGGCCCAAUUCUUCUCCAUAUCAAUGCCCAACCGCAUGUCAUACAACCAAUGCUUCAAAAAUUGAAUGCAUUGGGCUACAAAGUUUUACCUCAUCCACCAUAUUUACCUGACCUCUAGCCAACCGACUACCACUUCUUCAAGCAUAUUGACAACUUUUUGCAGGGAAAACACUUGCACAACCAGCAGGAUGCAGAAAACGCUUUCCAAGAUUUUGUUGAACCCUGAAGCACAGACUUCCAUGCUACAGGAAUAGACAAACGUUUCUCCUUGGCAAAAAUGUGUUGAUUGUAAUGGUUCCUAUUUUGAUUAAUAAAGAUAUGUUUGAGCCUAGUUAUAAUGAUUUAAAAUUCACAGUCAAAACCACAGUUACUUUUGCACCAAUCUAAUAUACACCUCUUAGAGUGUCCAAAAUCCAGAAUAUUGACAAUACCAAAUGCUGGCAAAGGUGUGGAGCAGCAAGGACUCUCAUUCAUUGCUGGUGAAAAUGCAAAAUUGUAUGGCCACUUUGGAAGACAAUUUGGUGGUUUUUUGUAAAACUAAACAUACUCUUAUCGUAUAAUCUAGCAUUCGUGCUCCUUGAUAUCUACCCAAAGGAGCGGAAAAUUUAUGUCCACCCAAAUGCCUAUAUGUGGAUGUUUAUAGUAGCUUUAUUCUUAAUUGCCAAAACUUGGAAGUAGCCAAGAUGUCUUUUGGUAUUUAGAUGACAAACUGUGGUACAUCCAGACAAUGAAAUAUUAUUUAGUGCACACAAAAAUGAACUAUCAAGUCACGAAAAAACACAGAGGAGGCUGAAAUGCAUAUUCCUUAUACAUACUGUAUAAUUUCAAUUACUAUAUGACAUUCUGGAAUAGGCAAAACUAUGGAGAUGGUAAAAAGAUCAGUGGUUGCCAGGGCUUAGGUAGAGAAAGGCAGAACACAGAGGAUUUUUAGGGAGUAAAGCUAUUCUGUACGAUAAUCUAAUGGUGAGUACAUGUCAUUAAAUGACUGUCCAAAUCUACAGAAUGCACGACAUCAAGAGUGAAUACUUAUAUAAACUGUGGAUUUGGGGUGAUAAUAACAUGUAAAUGUAGGUUCUCCAAACAUAAUCAGUGAACUACUCUGGUGGGGAAUAGUAAGUGCAGGGGAAUCUAUGCAUGUGUGGGGGAAGGGGCUGCACAGGAAAUCUCUGUACUUCUUGCUCAAUUUUGCUGUGAACCUAAAACUGCUCUAAAAAAUAAAGUCUAUUAAAAAUAAAAACAAGAGGGGCAAUUCUCAAAAUUUUCAGUUUCAAGACUCUUUUACACUCUUAAAAAUUAUUGGAGACCCCAAAGAGGUUUAUGUGGACUAUCUUACUUACCUUAGUGGAUAUUAAAGCUGACAAAAUUUAAAAAUGUUUAUUAAUCCAUUUAAAAAUAAUAAAAACUCAUUUUUGGUAGCAUAAAUAAUACAAUUUUUUAUGAAAAAUAACUAUUUUUCAAAACAAAGUGAGAAGACUUUUACAUUUAUUGCUUUACAUUUUUGCAAACCUCUUUGAUGUUUGGGUUAUUAGUAGAUAACUAGAUUGUCAUAUGUGCUUCUUCAUUUGAUCUGUUGUGAUGUAGCAUUUUGAUUGAAAAUCUAGCCUGUCACACAUUUGUUUACUUGAAAAAGAGAAAAGUAUUUUAAUAACCUUUCAGGUAAUUCUGGAUAUUCUUCUUUAAUAAUAUACUUAAACUUGACAGGUGGCUGUUUCUUAAAGAUUAGCCACAAUGUGAAAUCUCAAACUA
rnacentral:lncRNA from 1 species